UACAGAGGGGGCAAGCGUUGUUCGGAAUUACUGGGCGUAAAGGGCGCGUAGGCGGUCUUGCAAGUCCUGUGUGAAAUCCCUCGGCUCAACUGAGGAACUGCACAGGAAACUGCUUGGCUUGAGUUCGGGAGAGGGAAGCGGAAUUCCGGGUGUAGCGGUGAAAUGCGCAGAUAUCAGGAGGAACACCGGUGGCGAAGGCGGGUCUCUGGGCCGAUACUGACGCUGAGGAGCGAAAGCGUGGGGAGCGAACAGG
rnacentral:rRNA from 1 species